AGCUCUAUAUAUCAAGGAUUAUAUCUGUCUCUAAGAAAAAGACAUAAAAAUCUGCAGGUCACCACUUAUCCUGUAGCCCUGAAUGAUGGAUCUGCAAACCUUCCGAUAUUGUCUGAUACCGGUAAUGUUGUGUAAUUGUAUUCUGCUGAUGGGCUAUUUGUUAUCACUGAAGAACACGCGCAAUAUUACACCGCAGAGGGCAUCGAGGCUGGAUGUAAAGCCGGUUCUGGGGGUUCGGAGGUUUCCAGAUACAGAGGCUGAAGGUAUUGGAAAAAGAAAAAACGAAGUUAAAGAAACAUAUUUGAAUAAGCUUAAAACAAAAACAACUACCAAAAAAGCACCACCCAUCUCAUUCGCGAAAUUGACUCGUAGCACAGCGCCAGAUAUGACGACCAUGACGCCUGCAACCAUGGAAACCAG